UGGAUUACAUUGAACUGGACCUACUUUUACCAAACUAUUGCUGGAAAGAGUUGCCUGCCCUUGGUUCUGAGUGUCCUGGAGGGGAUGGACUGAGCUACCAGGGAGAUAAUUUACAGUAAUCAGGCCCGGAAAGAGACUCUCUCACCCAGCAUGGAAGUGCAGCAGCCACUGCUGACUGGAAUGGAAGCUUUGACUUGCUCAGUUGCUGACCUAGACUGACUCUUCCUUCCCUAGACACCCUGGUGGCCCCCUGCUCCCAGAGGCCCACCAUAUUGGUGCUGGACUUAGUACAAACAACCAAUCAGCUUUAGCCACACUGAAGCUCAGAGCUCCCAAACUCAAGUGGUCUAUAAGCCUCAGGAAUUACAGCUGACUCUGUCCUGUGUGAAACUUGGCAGCCUGGUAAGGGCAAGAAGAAAAUAAGGAUGAUGCCACUAUCCUCCUGUCCCAUAGGAGUCCAGAGGCCAGAGGAAAGUGAGACUUCCCUAGGACUAGGACACUUUCUAGGGUGGACCAAGUUUCUAAGGAAAUGCUGCUGAUUCCCAGAAGAACAGAGAAUUGUAAGCUGUGUCUUCUACAUGAAGACUUGGACCAGUCUUAUCUAAACAUUUUAUCUCCUCUAGACCUAAUACACAAUUUAAUGAAUGCUUGUUGAA